rnacentral:misc_RNA from 1 species
UUAAGUUCAGCGGGUAUCCCUACCUGAUCCGAGGUCAAACUGGAGAAUUAUUCCCUGGGAGGGGGUUCUGGCAGGACCUUGCCGGCGGGAGUCGCGUUUGAGGUGCUCAUCACGCUACUGGCCCGUGGCACGUCCGCCACUGGAUUGCGGGAAGAGGGUCCCAUUGACGGUCCCCUCGGACCCAAGACCGACUUGGCCGU